AUUGAACGCUGGCGGCAGGCUUAACACAUGCCAGUCGAACGGAGUGGCGGACGGGUGAGUAAUGCUUGGGAAUCUGGCUUAUGGAGGGGGAUAACGACGGGAAACUGUCGCUAAUACCGCGUACCAUAGGAUGAGCCCAAGUGGGCUUAGGUAGUUGGGGGGGUAAUGGCCUACCAAGCCGACGAUCUCUAGCUGGUCUGAGAGGAUGACCGGCCACACCGGGACUGCGACACGGCCCGGCCUCCUACGGGAGGCAGCAGUGGGGAAUAUUGGACAAUGGGCGAAAGCCUGAUCCAGCCAUGCCGCGUGUGUGAAGAAGGGCUUCGGAUUGUAAAGCACUUUAAGUUGGGAGGCGUUACCAACAGAAUAAGCACCGGCUAACUUCGUGCCAGCCGCCGCGGUAAUAC
rnacentral:rRNA from 1 species